AUGAAGCUGAGUGGAGGUGGUGCAGGGAAGCGUAGCAGCAGAGGGGAGCCAGAGGGGCCCAUUCAGGGCCUGGACAGAGUCGGCCAGAGCCUGUGGUGCAGGCUGCAGGGGUGCCUGCAGAAGGGCACCGCAGGGCCACCGGUCCUGCAAGCUUUCUGGGGCAGGCCAGACCUGACCUUGGCUUUGGGGCAGGGAGGGGCUAAGCUCUGUCCCACACCGCGGUCACAUGGCGCCACCUCUCUUGCAGCCACCACCAAGGGCCCAUCGGUCUUCCCCCUGGCGUCCUCCUCCAGGAGCACCUCUGGGGGCACAGCGGCCCUGGGCUGCCUGGUCAAGGACUACUUCCCCGAACCGGUGACCGUGUCGUGGAACUCAGGCGCCCUGACCAGCGGCGUGCACACCUUCCCGGCUGUCCUACAGUCCUCAGGGCUCUACUCCCUCAGCAGCGUGGUGACCGUGCCCUCCAGCAGCUUGGGCACCCAGACCUACACCUGCAACGUAGAUCACAAGCCCAGCAACACCAAGGUGGACAAGAGAGUUGAGCCCACAUCUUGUCACCCAACUCCCCCGUGCCCACCGUGCCCAGCACCGGAACUCCUGGGGGGAAUGUCAGUCUUCCUCUUCCCCCCAAAACCCAAGGACACCCUCAUGAUCUCCCGGACCCCUGAGGUCACGUGCGUGGUGGUGGACGUCAGCCACGAAGACCCUGAGGUCAAGUUCAACUGGUACGUGGACGGCGUGGAGGUGCACAAUGCCAAGACAAAGCCGCGGGAGGAGCAGUUCAACAGCACAUACCGUGUGGUCAGCGUCCUCACCGUCGUGCACCAGGACUGGCUGAACGGCAAGGAGUACAAGUGCAAGGUCUCCAACAAAGCCCUCCCAGCCCCCAUCGAGAAAACCAUCUCCAAAGCCAAAGGGCAGCCCCGAGAGCCGCAGGUGUACGCCCUGCCCCCAUCCCGGGAGGAGCUGACCAAGAACCAGGUCAGCCUGACCUGCCUGGUCACAGGCUUCUACCCCAGCGACAUUGCCGUGGAGUGGGAGAGCAGCGGGCAGCCGGAGAACAACUACAAGACCACGCCUCCCGUGCUGGACUCCGACGGCACCUUCUUCCUCUACAGCAAGCUCACCGUGGGCAAGAGCAGGUGGCAGGAGGGGAACGUCUUCUCAUGCUCCGUGAUGCAUGAGGCUCUGCACAACCACUACACACAGAAGAGCCUCUCCCCGUCUCCGGAGCUGCAACUGGAGGAGAGCUGUGCGGAGGCGCAGGACGGGGAGCUGGACGGGCUGUGGACGACCAUCACCAUCUUCAUCACACUCUUCCUGCUAAGCGUGUGCUACAGUGCCACCGUCACCUUCUUCAAGGUGAAGUGGAUCUUCUCCUCGGUGGUGGACCUGAAGCAGACCAUCGUCCCCGACUACAGGAACAUGAUCAGGCAGGGGGCCUAGGGCCACCCUCUGCGG